rnacentral:rRNA from 1 species
AGCAGCCGCGGUAAUUCCAGCUCCAAUAGCGUAUAUUAAAGUUGUUGCAGUUAAAAAGCUCGUAGUUGAAUUUCGGGGUUAGUAGGUUGGUCAUGCCUCUGGUAUGUACUGGUCUCACUGAUUCCUCCUUCCUGAUGAACCGUAAUGCCAUUAAUUUGGUGUUGCGGGGAAUUUGGACUGUUACUUUGAAAAAAUUUAGAGUGUUUAAAGCAGGCUCACGCUUGAAUACAUUAGCAUGGAAUAAUGAAAUAGGACGUUUGAUUCUAUUUUGUUGGUUUCUAGGAUCGACGUAAUGAUUAAUAGGGAUAGUUGGGGGGCAUUAGUAUUCAAUUGUCAGAGGUGAAAUUCUUGGAUUUAUUGAAAGCUAACUACUGCGAAAGCAUUUGCCAAGGAUGUUUUCAUUAAUCAAGAACGAAAGUUAGGGGAUCGAAGACGAUCAGAUACCGUCGUAGUCUUAACCAUAAACUAUGCCGACUAGGGAUCGGAUGAUGUUAAUUUUUUAAUGACUCAUUCGGCGCCU